UACGGAGGGUGCGAGCGUUGUCCGGAAUCACUGGGCGUAAAGGGCGCGUAGGCGGCGCGAGCAGUCGAUCGUGAAAGUCCGGAGCUCAACUCCGGAUCGGCGGUCGAUACUCUCGUGCUUGAGCACUGUAGAGGCAGAUGGAAUUCCGGGUGUAGCGGUGGAAUGCGUAGAGAUCCGGAAGAACACCGGUGGCGAAGGCGGUCUGCUGGGCAGUUGCUGACGCUGAUGCGCGACGGCGUGGGGAGCAAACAGG
rnacentral:rRNA from 1 species